rnacentral:rRNA from 1 species
CCUACGGGAGGCAGCAGUGGGGAAUAUUGCACAAUGGGGGAAACCCUGAUGCAGCGACGCCGCGUGAGUGAAGAAGUAUUUCGGUAUGUAAAGCUCUAUCAGCAGGGAAGAAGAAAGACGGUACCUGACUCAGAAGCCCCGGCUAACUACGUGCCAGCAGCCGCGGUAAUACGUAGGGGGCAAGCGUUAUCCGGAUUUACUGGGUGUAAAGGGAGCGUAGACGGCUGUGCAAGUCUGAAGUGAAAGCCCAGGGCUCAACCCUGGGACUGCUUUGGAAACUGUGGAGCUAGAGUGCUGGAGAGGUAAGUGGAAUUCCUAGUGUAGCGGUGAAAUGCGUAGAUAUUAGGAGGAACACCAGUGGCGAAGGCGGCUUACUGGACAGUAACUGACGUUGAGGCUCGAAAGCGUGGGGAGCAAACAGGAUUAGAUACCCCUGUAGUC